rnacentral:rRNA from 1 species
GACGAACGCUGGCGGCGUGCUUAACACAUGCAAGUCGAACGGAAAGGCCCUGCUUUUGUGGGGUGCUCGAGUGGCGAACGGGUGAGUAACACGUGAGUAACCUGCCCUUGACUUUGGGAUAACUUCAGGAAACUGGGGCUAAUACCGGAUAGGAGCUCCUGCUGCAUGGUGGGGGAUGGAAAGAUUCGGCGGUUGGGGAUGGACUCGCGGCUUAUCAGCUUGUUGGUGGGGUAGUGGCUUACCAAGGCUUUGACGGGUAGCCGGCCUGAGAGGGUGACCGGCCACAUUGGGACUGAGAUACGGCCCAGACUCCUACGGGAGGCAGCAGUGGGGAAUAUUGCACAAUGGGCGGAAGCCUGAUGCAGCAACGCCGCGUGCGGGAUGACGGCCUUCGGGUUGUAAACCGCUUUCGCCUGUGACGAAGCGUGAGUGACGGUAAUGGGUAAAGAAGCACCGGCUAACUACGUG